AGCGAACGCUGGCGGCAGGCUUAACACAUGCAAGUCGAGCGGGCAUCCUUGUGGUGUCCGCGGCAGACGGGUGAGUAACGCGUGGGAACGUGCCCUUCGGUUCGGAAUAACUCAGGGAAACUUGAGCUAAUACCGGAUACGCCCUUUUGGGGAAAGGUUUACUGCCGAAGGAUCGGCCCGCGUCUGAUUAGCUAGUUGGUGAGGUUACGGCUCACCAAGGCGACGAUCAGUAGCUGGGCUGAGAGGAUGAUCAGCCACACUGGGACUGAGACACGGCCCAGAAUCCUACGGGAGGCAGCAGUGGGGAAUAUUGGACAAUGGGGGCUAACCUGAUCCAGCCAUGCCGCGUGAGUGAUAACAGCCUUAGGGUUGUAAAGCUCUUUUCUCCGGGACGAUAAUGACGGUACCGGAGGAAUAAGCCCCGGCUAACUUCGUG
rnacentral:rRNA from 1 species